ACCCCAAAUAGUGAAAAUCCUUCCAUCCAAUUCACGACGAGCUUCCUUCUUUGCAAUUCCAAACCACUGUCCAAGUUUGUAAUUACAUAUUAGUCUUACUGCUCCAACACAAUUUGGUUCUCUAAGAAGGAAUGCAAGCUUCAAGACUAUCUAGAAGAAAUUAAGAAAAUUGAGCAAGUUGAAGAAGGAGAAGCCCAGAUAUUCCGAUACGGAGGUGUGAGCAGCUGGUUAUGGAGGACACGAGAAGAGGUAGAGGGCGGCCUAAAAAGUAUUGG